UACGUAGGGUCCGAGCGUUGUCCGGAAUUACUGGGCGUAAAGAGCUCGUAGGUGGUUUGUCGCGUUGUUCGUGAAAACUCACAGCUUAACUGUGGGCGUGCGGGCGAUACGGGCAGACUUGAGUACUGCAGGGGAGACUGGAAUUCCUGGUGUAGCGGUGGAAUGCGCAGAUAUCAGGAGGAACACCGGUGGCGAAGGCGGGACUCUGGGCCGAUACUGACGCUGAGGAGCGAAAGCGUGGGGAGCAAACAGG
rnacentral:rRNA from 1 species